CAACUGCCGCUCGCGUUCCGCGCUGCCGCUGUGUCGAGGAGAUUGAACCACCGCCGCUUCCAGUCUACUGCGUCGAGAAGAUUGAGGUACCACCGCUGGUCCGCUGCGUUUGUUUGAAUUUUUUUUAAAUUUUGUAAACCCCCAAAUUUUCCUAUGUUUUUCAAUUAGAUAAGAAUUUGAGUUUGUUUUUUCUUUUUGUGAAUGGUAGUGGAGGUCCGGACAGAGGGUAGCCGACUUUUGAGUGGAAUUGAAUUUUGCUAAUAGAUUUGUUAUUUUUUUUAGAAGAAUACAUUUGUUAUUUGUCAAUUAGCCGAUUAGAUUAUAGUUUUGCUUUUUUGAAAUUUGAAUACAUUUGAUACUUUUUAGUCAAUUUUCAGUGGAAUAAAAUUGUGAAUUAGCGAAUUGUAUAUUUCGGAGUUGUUGGUUAUGAAUGCUAAAUUGGAUUAAUUUAUUUUUUUAUAGGAAAUGGAACGUUUUUUUUCUAAAAAACGUAGAGGUCAACCAUCUUGUGAUUCAGCUACACCCGCUAUUGAAGCCAAUGUAGAAGUUGAAGCCAAUGUAGAAGAUGAAACAAAUUUUGAUGAAUACGUCCGUGAUCCGGGGUUAAGAAAGCCAAUUGAGGAGUUUCCUAUUACUAUUCGCGAUCAAACACGUAGAGAGUACUUAUCUAUGGGGCCUUGUCAAGUAGUUGGGC
rnacentral:lncRNA from 1 species